rnacentral:rRNA from 1 species
AGUGAACGCUGGCGGCAGGCCUAACACAUGCAAGUCGAACGGCAGCACAGAGGAGCUUGCUCCUUGGUGGCGAGUGGCGGACGGGUGAGGAAUACAUCGGAAUCUGCCCAGUCGUGGGGGAUAACAUAGGGAAAUUUAUGCUAAUACCGCAUACGACCUACGGGUGAAAGCGGGGGAUCGCAAGACCUCGCGCGAUUGGAUGAGCCGACGUCCGAUUAGCUAGUUGGCGGGUAAUGGCCCACCAAGGCGACGAUCGGUAGCUGGUCUGAGAGGAUGAUCAGCCACACUGGAACUGAGACACGGUCCAGACUCCUACGGGAGGCAGCAGUGGGGAAUAUUGGACAAUGGGCGCAAGCCUGAUCCAGCCAUGCCGCGUGGGUGAAGAAGGCCUGGUUGUAAGCCUUUGUCCGG